CGCUAAACAGAACUCUGCUCUCUGUGCUUCCGGGUUCAUUUUGCAUUUGUGUUUCUCCAAACUCUGCGGCGUUCUUAAACUUGGGACAGUGUGGCUUGUGCUCAGCGCAGGACAUGGAGGAUCUUCUGUCAUUCACAGAUGUGGCCAUUGAUUUUUCUGCAGAUGAAUGUGAAUGUCUGGAGCCUGCUCAGUGGAAUUUGUAUAAGGAAGUGAUGCUGGAGAAUUACAGCAACCUUGUGUUCCUGGGUCUUGCUUUUUCUAAGCCAUACCUGGUCACAUUUCUGGAGCAAAGUUCAGAUCCAUGGAGCAUGAAGAGAAAAGCAUCAGCGGCCAUCCAUCUAGGAUUGAAACCCCAUAAAUGUAAAGAGUGUGGGAAAGCCUUUGAUAGAAACUCAGUCCUUAUUCAACAUCAAAGAAUUCAUACUGGAGAAAGACCCUACAAAUGUGAUGAAUGUGGCAAAUCUUUUAACUAUUCUUCCAGCCUUAAACAGCACCAAAGGAUUCAUACUGGGGAGAAACCCUACAGAUGUGAUGUGUGUGGCAAAGCUUUUAACUGUUCUUCAUAUCUGGGUAAGCAUCAAAGAAUCCAUACUGGAGAGAAACGCUACAGAUGUGAAGAAUGUGGCAAAGCUUUUACUAAUUGUUCAGGGCUUAUUGUUCACCGAAGAGUUCAUACUGGAGAGAAACCCUACAAAUGUGAAGAGUGUGGUAAGGCCUUUAGUGUUCGUACAACGCUCUCCAAACACCAGAGAAUUCAUACUGGAGAGAAACCUUACAAAUGUGAUGAAUGUGGAAAGACUUUCAAUGUACACUCCACACUUUCUAAACACCAGAGAAUUCACACUGGAGAGAAACCCUACAAAUGUGAAGAAUGUGGCAUGGCCUUUAAUGUUCGCUGCAUUCUUUCUAAGCACCAGCGAACCCAUACUGGAGAAAAACCCUACAAAUGUAAAGAAUGUGGCAAAGCCUUUAACUGUUCUUCCAGCCUUCACCAACACCAACAAAUUCAUAGGGGAGAGAAACUCUAUAAAUGUGAUGACUGUGGGCAGGCCUUUAGCUGUUCCUCAUAUCUGUAUAAGCAUCGUCGAAUCCAUACUGGCAUGAAACCCUACAAAUGCAAAGAAUGUGGCAAGGCCUUUUACUGUUCUGUAAACCUUAUUUACCACCAGAGAGUUCAUACUGGAGAGAAACCAUAUAAAUGUAAUGAGUGUGGGAAAGCCUUUAGCAUUUGCUCAACGUUUAUGAAACACCAGCGAAUACAUAGUGGAGAAAAGCCCUACAAAUGCAAAGAAUGUGAGAAAGCCUUUAAUAAUUGUUAUAAUCUAAUUCAACACCAAAGAAUUCAUACUGGAGAGAAACCCUACAAAUGUAAAGACUGUGGCAAAGCCUUUAAUUAUACUUCAAGUCUUGCUCAACACGAAAGAAUUCACACUGGAGAAAAACCUUACAAAUGUGAAGAAUGUGGCAAGGCUUUCAAUUCUUCUUCAAAUCUUAAACACCAUUGGAGACUCCAUACUGGUGAGAAGCCCUACAAAUGUGAACAAUGUGGGAAAGCCUUUAAAAAUUGUUCAGGCUUUACUCGACACUAUAGAAUUCAUACUAGAGAAAACCCAGAUUAGCACAACCCCUGUGACAAAGCCUCCUGUGAUCAUUUACUGAUAAUUCGACACUAAAGAAUUCAUAUAAAAGAGGAACCUUAUAAAUGAAAGGAACAACGAAAGACCUUUAAAAACAGCUCAGCCCUUGCUCAAUAUCCUCAUUACACAAUGGAGAGAUCUUGUAAUGUGAAAAAAAUGGAUGCAAUGAGCAAUUUAUACUCAUGUAACAUCAAAAUUUUCAUUUUUGAAAAACCCUACAAAUGCAAGUAAUAGGUGAAAUGCUCAUUUGCCAUGAGUGAAUUAUAAUCAGACUGUAUACAUGCAGAAUGACUUGGGAAGGAACACUGUCAAAUAUAUAAAACUGAGAAAACCAAACUCUUACAGUAAAAUGCAAUGUGUAGGUGAUGUUGCAAGACUUUACCCAUCACAUAGAUCUUAAGAGAUAUUCAGGAAUGAUCAUAAGAGACAAAUUCUAGGAGUUGUAUAGAAUUUAGCAAAGCAACAAAUACUGCUUAUAAUUAGUAGGGAAAUGUUUGAUAUAAUAUAACUCAUUACACUCUUUAAGAUCAUGCAGAUAAGUUUGUGAGGACAUCAAUGUGUUAUAAAUCCAAAUUGUAAGCUCAAUUUAGAAGAGUGAAAAGAUCACAACAACUAGUGAUUUUAUCAGAAGAUCAAGACUGAGUCCUGAGGUUUCAGAGUCUGUUUUUCCCCCCAAAGACCACAGAUACAUUAUUGGAAUAUGAAGUUUAGUAACUUUUGUAAAUAAAAAUAAGCUGUUCUUAAUGUAUUGUCAGUGUCAUGUUUAGUAUUGCAUUCUUUUUUUACUAAGUUUUACAUAGUUUUUAUUUUAUUUUAUUUUAUUUUACUGAGAUAGAAAAACUACCUUAGUGAGGCAUGAAGGCUAAUAUUGGCUGUCCAUCUGACACACCUAGGAAGGGGGCACCUCAGUUGCAUAAUUGUCAACCAGAUUGACCUGUGAGUGUGACUGUUACAUUUUCUUGAAUGCAGUUGCUAUAGAAGGGUUCAGUCCACUGUGGGGAACAGCAUCCCUAGGCUGUGGACCUGGGCUGUAUGAACCAGCAAGUAGCAUUCCUCCAGGAUCUUUUCUCAGGUUUCUGCCUUAAGUACCUGCCUUGGAUUCCUUCAGUAGUGGACUAUAAUGUAUAAGACAAAAUAGACCCUUUCUUCCCCAAGUAGUUUUUGGGUCAUGGGAUUUAUCAAAGCAAAGAAAGAAAUCAGAACAUAAAGGACCUAGGUAACAUUUUAAUUGUACACUACCAGGGAUAUAUGGGAUGUUUAGUCUGUUCCCAAUGUUGCUGUGCUAUGCCUAAUUUAUAACAUCUUUUAUGUUAUAUCAUUAUUUAUCCACUUAUAAUUACUUUUAUAUCAUAUAUUUUAUAGAAAUAAAGUGAUGCCCUUUUGACUCUUGUAUUUUA